UUCUUUGACGCAGAUUUCUACAACGAAUCCUAACAACUCUCUUUGCCUCGGAGCUCGUCGUCGCCAAAGCGUUGAAUUGUUGGCGUCGUGUUCGUUUUAAGAAGGUGAGAAGAAGUGGAGGUAAACUUGACUAGAACAGGAAAGGUCUAUAAAGAAAAAAAGAAGAAGAAAAGGGGAUUGGGAGAGAGUGGCGCACCGCUGAGAUGGUGAGGACGCCGUCGUCGGGCGGCGGGAGCUCCCGGAAGUCCGGCCAUCGGCGGAUCGCCGACAUCCUUGCGGAUGAUGAGGACUCUAGCGACGAGUCCGUCUUCAACGGGUACGGGUACGGCUACGGCGGUGGGGGAGGCGGAAUGAUGCCCAUUUUCCUUAACGACCAGAGCGAUCUGGUGGAGGUGAUGCUGGAGCUCGACGAGGAGUCGAUGGUUGUCCGGAGCGUCACCCCGACAUCCGCCGCCGCCGCUGCCGCGGCGUCGGCGGGGAGGGAUUCGUCGGGGAGCCUGAGCCAGAGCUCCUCGACGUCGUCGCGGAUCCGGCGCAAGUUCGCGUGGCUCCGGUCGCCGACGUCGCGGCGGACGCUGGCCGACAUGCUGGCGACGGACGACUCGUCGUCGGGCCCGCUCCCGGCCCCCACAGCUGCCGUGUUGUCGCGGGACGCCCGGCGGAUCCGGGCGCGACUGGAGCGGACGCGGUCGGGGGCGCAGCGGGCACUGAAGGGGCUCCGCUUCAUCAGCCGGACGACGACGGGGGCAGCGGACGCGGCGGAGCUGUGGCGGCGGGUGGAGGACCGCUUCGCCUUGCUCGCCAAGGACGGCCUCCUCUCCCGUGAGGACUUCGGCGAAUGCAUAGGAAUGGUGGACUCGAAGGAGUUCGCUGUGGGCAUAUUCGAUGCCCUGUCAAGAAGGCGGCGCCAGAACUUGGAGAGAAUUACCAAAGAAGAACUCUACGAAUUCUGGCUCCAGAUCUCUGAUCAAAGCUUCGAUGCCCGCCUUCAAAUCUUCUUCGACAUGGCGGAUACCAAUGUGGAUGGGAGGAUUACGAGAGAGGAAGUACAAGAGCUAAUAGGCCUGAGUGCUUCGGCAAACAAGCUGUCCAUGCUGAAGGAGCAGGCGGACGAGUACGCGGCUCUCAUCAUGGAAGAGCUGGACCCCGAAAACCUCGGCUACAUCGAGCUAUGGCAACUGGAGGCGCUGCUGCUGCAGCGGGACACGUACAUGAACUACAGCCGGCCGCUGAGCACGGCGAGCGCGGCGGGGUGGAGCCAGACCAUCGCCGGCGGGCCGAAGCCCUCUCGGCGCCGCUGGUUCAGCCCUCGCCGCGCGGCAGCUAGGCUGCGGCUGGCAGCGCAAGAGAACUGGCAGCGGGCGUGGGUGGUGUCGCUGUGGCUGGCGGCCAUGGCGGGCUUGUUCGCCUGGAAGUUCACGCAGUACCGGGAGCGGGCCGCGUUCCAGGUGAUGGGCUACUGCCUUCCCACCGCCAAGGGCGCGGCGGAGACGCUCAAACUCAACAUGGCCCUCGUGCUGCUCCCCGUCUGCCGGAACACUCUCACCUGGCUCCGCUCCACACGGGCCCGGCUUUUCGUCCCCUUCGACGACAACAUCACAUUCCACAAGAUGAUUGCGACUGCCAUAGUGAUCGGGAUCCUUCUACACGCCGGGAAUCAUCUGACGUGCGAUUUCCCGCGGCUGAUCAACUCGUCGCCGGCGCGCUACGAGUUGGUGGCCAGAUACUUCGGACAGGAGAAACCCACGUACGGGAGCCUGGUGGCUGGGGUGGAAGGGGUGACGGGGAUCGCCAUGGUGGUGCUGAUGACCAUCUCCUUCACGCUGGCCACCCACCGGUUCAGGAAGAACGGCGCGAGGCUGCCCUUCCCGCUGAACCGGCUCAGCGGGUUCAACGCCUUCUGGUACUCCCACCACCUGCUCGCCGUCGUCUACGUGCUGCUGCUCGUCCAUGGCUACUACAUGUUCCUCGUCCAGGAGUGGUACCAGCGGACGACAUGGAUGUACAUCUCUGUUCCAUUGCUGCUCUAUGUGGGCGAGCGGAAUCUGAGGGCUUUCCGUUCCAAGGCUUACUCUGUCAAGAUCUUAAAGGUCGCAUUACUACCUGGUGGUGUGCUGACUGUGACCAUGUCCAAGCCACAUGGAUUUCGCUAUAGAAGUGGACAAUAUAUAUUUUUGCAGUGCCCUACUAUCUCCCCAUUUGAAUGGCAUCCUUUCUCCAUUACGUCAGCUCCUGGUGAUGAGUAUCUCAGUGUCCACAUUAGAACCAGUGGUGACUGGACCCAGGAGCUUAAGCGCAUAUUUAUAGAGAGUUACUUCUCACCACACUCGAUGGGGAGAGCUUCACUUAAUGAAUCAGGUUCUUCGGAGCAGACAAGGCAGCCUAGAUUGUUUGUAGAUGGACCCUAUGGUGCUCCAGCACAAGACUUCCGGAAUUAUGAUGUUCUUCUGCUGGUCGGGCUUGGUAUAGGAGCAACACCUUUCAUCAGCAUUCUCAGAGACCUACUCAACAACAUUAAGUUAGCAGAUGAACUGAUGGAUUUGGCGAUGGAAACCAGCAGGUCUGAAGUUAGCAGUCACAGCUUCAGCUUUUCCACAUCCAGCAGCAGCAUCAAGAAGCGAACGUAUAGAACUAGCAGCGCUCAUUUCUACUGGGUUACAAGAGAGGCCGGAUCCUUUGAAUGGUUCAAAGGAGUAAUGAAUGAUGUGGCUGAAAUGGACAAGAAGGGCAUUAUAGAGAUGCAUAAUUAUUUGACGAGUGUUUACGAGGAGCGUGAUGCAAGGACUACUCUCCUCACAAUGGUGCAGGCUCUCAGUCAUGCCAAGCAUGGUGUUGACAUUGUAUCAGGCACCCGGGUGAGAACUCACUUUGCAAGACCAAAUUGGAAAGAAGUAUUUACCAAGUUAGCUUCGGAGCAUCCUGGUGCAACAGUAGGUGUAUUCUACUGUGGGACACCAACUCUAGCAAAAGAGCUGAGGAAACUGUCGCUGGAGACGAGCCACAAGACUUCGACUCGAUUCCAUUUCCACAAGGAGUACUUCUAAUCAAUGGAUACGUAACUUUGCUGACUGUUUUGAAUGAGACAUUAACAUACUCAGGCAAAGAACUUCCUCCAGUUUCGAUCAAGGGCAAUGCGAAGUUUGAAUUCACCUAAAGGAUGACAAUGGAUGGAAAGAGAAACAAGUGUUUGGUGGCCUAUCAUCAAGAGAGUGGGUGGAUUAAGAAAAUAAAGCUUGAUAGGUUGGACCUUAGAUAAUAUUCUGAUUUAGCUAAUGGGCAUUUACAAAUGGCCUUAUAAUUGCUGCAGUGACCAAAGCCAAGAUUGGGUCGGUGCAAGCUUAUCUUGAUGCCUGUAAACCCCAACACUAAUGAUAUUUAAUUUGUGUACAAGGUCUUAACAACAUAUAACAUAUCUUUCUCUUUCGAUGUCACAGAGAUGAUUGAUUCUAUGACAUCUGUUGUGUAUACAGCAUACUUAUCAUUUGCCUCUGUAGCCAUUUCUAGGGCCAACCCCAGCUUUACUUCAGUGUGCUUUGUAUUGUGUUAAGAACUGGAUGAUAACUUGUGUUCUUCA